rnacentral:rRNA from 1 species
AAGCGCUUGUGACCAGACGCGCGCCGGGGUGCUCAGCAGGCGUUCUCGCCUGUGCACUCGCCCCGGCGCGGGCCAGCAUCGGUUUAGGUGGUGGGAUAAAGGCCUUGGGAAUGUAGCUUCUUUCGGGGAGUGUUAUAGCCCUCGGUGCAAUGCCGCCUACCUGGACCGAGGACCGCGCUUCGGCUAGGAUGCUGGCGUAAUGGUUGUAAGCGA